rnacentral:misc_RNA from 1 species
AAAAAAAAAAAACCAAACAUGGUUACAGAAAGUUAUUUUAUUUAGUGGUGACAGCAUAUACAACUUUCAACUUAUUAUGUGUGUUAGGGGAUGUAAACUAUUCUAGGUCCUCACCUGGAAGCUUUAACUUCUAGGUGGAGUGUUUGCCUAUUGCACAAACAAUUUAAAAUUUAACCUAAAAUCAUGUAGAAAUCACCUCAUUGAAAUUCUUCCAUUCAAACAUUGCAUAAAGUGCUUCUAUUACUCAAAUUCAGUUAGGGUUGGAAAAUAACAUUAAAUAUCCUCGAGUUGUUUGUGGUGUCUGUAAGAACUAUCGGUUAUCUCCAUCAGCAUGAGGAUAGGUAACUUUACACAUGAUUUUGUUAAAUGUGUUAUCUAUUCAAUUUUCAGUUCCAAGAUUCACUUUUGUUUACAGAAACAAGCGUUGCAUAAAAUGACAAUCACACCAACUCUUGAGGAUACUCUAUCUCCCACAAGAAAAGAAGAAACAAAAUCACCAAACGAAAUAGUUAGCAGUCCAAUACUUGAGGUCUCUCCUCUACAAGAAAAAGCUGCAAGUAAACAAAUAAUCCCUUCUACAAUUACUACAUUUGAACCAUUGAUGGAGGCUGGAGGACUACAAACUACUAUAAGUGGCCGAGAGACUAGCAAAAGAUCUCGUCUAAUUUUUCCCCAAAUUAGAAUGCGUCCGAUGGCUCCAACUCCUCUAAAUUCUGUUCCAUCCAACACAACAGGAUCAUCAAUAUCGGCUCAAAAUUCUUCAAAUGUGCAAAUUGUUGUGUCUAGGAACUUGCUUGCUGAGCUAUCUAGUAGGGUUAAGACUUUGAACUCUCCAUUAAAAAAUGAAACUUGCACCUCCAGUCUAGUUCUUGGCUCUGAUCCUUUUCAGCAACAAAGGAAAGUAAUGGCAGCUUUCCUUAAUAUGUCAUUGGAGGAUAUAUACCAUGCCAACGCCUUUGACAAUGUUGAGAGAACUGCUCUCUCACUUAUCCAGCACACUUCUAAUCCACUUGAGAAAUCAACCCUAGAGGACCUAAUUUCUCGCUUGGCACAGUUCAAAGAGAAUGUUCCAGAUGCUAUAACAUUGGCAGAGGCUGCUACGGUCCGAAGGACAUCUGUUCUAGAGAAAACAAAAAUUCUUGAUACAAUAUUGGAUCAAAACCAAGAGCAACUCCGUUCCUUAGAAGCUGAAUUCUCUAAACUCGAAGAAGCAGCAGCUGAAGUAGAUGUUCAGAUCCAACUUUUAAUCACCAAAAAAGAGGAGCUUCUUCUUCAAAGGAACUCGGUUGCAUUGAAAUUGGGAAAGACCAAUCAAGAAGCAUCUAGAGCUUUGGGAGAGUGGAGAAGCUUGGAAGAGGAAAACAAAGAAGCCAAUGAUAACUGUCUUCGAGCCAAUCAAAUGCUUGUUCAAUUCAAUGGUGUUUGGAAGCAAUUUGGAAAGUACUUUGGCUUAUAGACAUAUUUGAGUAUUUGGGACACUAGGUUUCUAUAGUCUAUUUAAACCUGGUCACUUAUUAUGGUAAACUGAACUAGUAGCAAGCAAUUAUGUAGAAUAUGCAUUUUUAUUGUACUAUAAAUGAAAUGAAAGUAGUGGGAAAAGAGAAUCAUCUGAAUAGGGUGAUAUAGUGCAUGAAAUAUCCCACACCUUUGUGGGCUUUGGGAAAGAUUGAUGUAUGCAGCCUUAUAAGAGACUGUUUCUGUGGCCUGAAUUUGUGACUUUCAGGUUAUAAAUGGAGUAACUUUAC